rnacentral:rRNA from 1 species
CCUACGGGAGGCAGCAGUGAGGAAUAUUGGUCAAAGGGCGCGAGCCUGAACCAGCCAAGUAGCGUGAAGGAUGACUGCCCUACGGGUUGUAAACUUUUUUUAUAAAGGAGUAAAGUGAGGCACGCGUGCCUUUUUGUAUGUACUUUCUGAAUAAGGUCCGGCUAACUCCGUGCCAGGAGCCGCGGUAAUACGGAGGAUCCGAGCGUUAUCCGGAUUUAUUGGGUUUACAGGGAGCGUAGAUGGGGUGUUAAGUCAGUUGUGAAAGUUUGCGGCUCAACCGUAAGAUUGCAAUUGAUACUGGGAGGCUGGAGUGCAGUUGGGGUAGGCGGAAUUCGUGGUGUAGCGGUGAAAUGCUUAGAUAUCACGAAGAACUCCGAUUGCGAAGGCAGCUUACUGAACUGCGACUGACAUUGAUGCUCGAAAGUGUGGGUAUCAAACAGGAUUAGAUACCCCUGUAGUC